rnacentral:rRNA from 1 species
CAGAGGUGCUUGCACCGCUGGAGAGCGGCGGACGGGUGAGUAAUGCCUAGGAAUCUGCCUGGUAGUGGGGGAUAACGCUCGGAAACGGACGCUAAUACCGCAUACGUCCUACGGGAGAAAGCAGGGGACCUUCGGGCCUUGCGCUAUCAGAUGAGCCUAGGUCGGAUUAGCUAGUUGGUGGGGUAAUGGCUCACCAAGGCGACGAUCCGUAACUGGUCUGAGAGGAUGAUCAGUCACACUGGAACUGAGACACGGUCCAGACUCCUACGGGAGGCAGCAGUGGGGAAUAUUGGACAAUGGGCGAAAGCCUGAUCCAGCCAUGCCGCGUGUGUGAAGAAGGUCUUCGGAUUGUAAAGCACUUUAAUUUGGAGAGGAAAGGCCUUUGCCUAAUACGUUGAGUGUUUUGACGUUACCGACAGAAUAAGCACCGGCUAACUCUGUGCCAACAGCCGCGGGUAAUACACAAGGGUGCGAGCGUUAAUCGGAAUUACUGGGCGUAUAGCGCGCGCACGUGGGUUCGUUAAGACAGCAUGUGUAAAUCCCCGGGCUCCACCUGGGAACUGCAUUCGUGACUGUCGAGCUAGAGUAUGGUAUAGAGGUGGUGGAAUUUCCUGUGUAGCGGUGAAAUGCGUAUAUAUACGCAGGAACACCCGUGGCGAACGCGACCACCUGGACUGGUACUGACACUGAUGUGCCAAAACGUGGGGAGCAAACAGGAUUAGAUACCCCGGUAAUCCCCCCCCGAUACCAAGGUAAACU